GAUGAACGCUGGCGGCGUGCCUAACACAUGCAAGUCGAACGGUGAAACGCCUUCCUUUCUGGUGGGAGUGGAUGAGCGGCGAACGGGUGAGUAACACGUUAGCAACCUGCCACCUUUUGCUGGAUAACCGCAUGAAAGAGCGGCUAACACGGGAUAUUCUGAGCCUGUCGCAUGAUGGGUCUGGGAAAGAUAUUGUUUCGGUGGGGGAUGGGCUCGCGGCUUAUCAGCUUGUUGGUGGGGUGACGGCCUACCAAGGCGGUGAUGGGUCGCCGGCCUGAGAGGGUGGGCGGCCACGGAGGUGCGACGCCGCGCAGCCGCCUCCGGCAGGCAGCAGCAGUGAGUAAUAUUCCACGGUGGGAGGCAUGCUGAUGCAGCGACGCCGCGUGGAGGAUGGUCUCCUGAUGGUUGAGAACCUCUUUCGCGGGUGAAGCAGGGCUGCCUCGUUUGUGGGUGGGUUGACGGUAGCUGGAGAAGAAGCGCCGGCUAACUACGUG
rnacentral:rRNA from 1 species